rnacentral:rRNA from 1 species
GGCACUACGGUGCUGAAGCAACAAAUGCCCUGCUUCCAGGAAAAGCCUCUAAGCAUCAGGUAACAUCAAAUCGUACCCCAAACCGACACAGGUGGUCAGGUAGAGAAUACCAAGGCGCUUGAGAGAACUCGGGUGAAGGAACUAGGCAAAAUGGUGCCGUAACUUCGGGAGAAGGCACGCUGAUAUGUAGGUGAAGUCCCUCGCGGAUGGAGCUGAAAUCAGUCGAAGAUACCAGCUGGCUGCAACUGUUUAUUAAAAACACAGCACUGUGCAAACACGAAAGUGGACGUAUACGGUGUGACGCCUGCCCGGUGCCGGAAGGUUAAUUGAUGGGGUCAGCGCAAGCGAAGCUCUUGAUCGAAGCCCCGGUAAACGGCGGCCGUAACUAUAACGGUCCUAAGGUAGCGAAAUUCCUUGUCGGGUAAGUUCCGACCUGCACGAAUGGCGUAAUGAUGGCCAGGCUGUCUCCACCCGAGACUCAGUGAAAUUGAACUCGCUGUGAAGAUGCAGUGUACCCGCGGCAAGACGGAAAGACCCCGUGAACCUUUACUAUAGCUUGACACUGAACAUUGAGCCUUGAUGUGUAGGAUAGGUGGGAGGCUUUGAAGUGUGGACGCCAGUCUGCAUGGAGCCGACCUUGAAAUACCACCCUUUAAUGUUUGAUGUUCUAACGUUGACCCGUGAUCCGGGUUGCGGACAGUGUCUGGUGGGUAGUUUGACUGGGGCGGUCUCCUCCUAAAGAGUAACGGAGGAGCACGAAGGUUGGCUAAUCCUGGUCGGACAUCAGGAGGUUAGUGCAAUGGCAUAAGCCAGCUUGACUGCGAGCGUGACGGCGCGAGCAGGUGCGAAAGCAGGUCAUAGUGAUCCGGUGGUUCUGAAUGGAAGGGCCAUCGCUCAACGGAUAAAAGGUACUCCGGGGAUAACAGGCUGAUACCGCCCAAGAGUUCAUAUCGACGGCGGUGUUUGGCACCUCGAUGUCGGCUCAUCACAUCCUGGGGCUGAAGUAGGUCCCAAGGGUAUGGCUGUUCGCCAUUUAAAGUGGUACGCGAGCUGGGUUUAGAACGUCGUGAGACAGUUCGGUCCCUAUCUGCCGUGGGCGCUGGAGAACUGAGGGGGGCUGCUCCUAGUACGAGAGGACCGGAGUGGACGCAUCACUGGUGUUCGGGUUGUCAUGCCAAUGGCACUGCCCGGUAGCUAAAUGCGGAAGAGAUAAGUGCUGAAAGCAUCUAAGCACGAAACUUGCCCCGAGAUGAGUUCUCCCUGACUCCUUGAGAGUCCUGAAGGAACGUUGAAGACGACGACGUUGAUAGGCCGGGUGUGUAAGCGCAGCGAUGCGUUGAGCUAACCGGUACUAAUGAACCGUGAGG